rnacentral:rRNA from 1 species
UACGGAGGGUGCAAGCGUUAUCCGGAUUCACUGGGUUUAAAGGGUGCGUAGGUGGGCAGGUAAGUCAGUGGUGAAAUCUCCGGGCUUAACCCGGAAACUGCCGUUGAUACUAUAUAUCUUGAAUGCCGUGGAGGUAAGCGGAAUAUGUCAUGUAGCGGUGAAAUGCUUAGAUAUGACAUAGAACACCUAUUGCGAAGGCAGCUUACUACACGGAGAUUGACGCUCAUGCACGAAAGCGUGGGGAUCAAACAGG